AAUGAACGCUGGCGGCGUGCUUUACACAUGCAAGUCGAGCGAGGCGGGUAGCAAUACCCAGUCGAGCGGCGAACGGGUGAGUAACGCGUGGAUUAUCUGCCCUGAGGUGGGGGAUAACCCGGGGAAACUCGGGCUAAUACCGCAUGACACCGUGAGGUCAAAGGGGCCGCAAGGCUCUCGCCAUGGGAGGAGUCCGCGUUCGAUUAGCUAGUUGGUAGGGUAAUGGCCUACCAAGGCGACGAUCGAUAGCCGGCCUGAGAGGGUGAUCGGCCACACUGGAACUGAGACACGGUCCAGACUCCUACGGGAGGCAGCAGUGGGGAAUUUUGCGCAAUGGGGGAAACCCUGACGCAGCAACGCCGCGUGGAGGAUGAAGGUCCUUGGAUUGUAAACUCCUGUCAGCAGGGAAAAAGCGAGUCGGGCUCAUACCCCCGGUGAGUUGA
rnacentral:rRNA from 1 species